UCGACCACAUUAUGGUGACACACCGUGCCCCGUACGAUCACCGAAGUUAAGCAACAUCCAGCCUGCUCAGUACUAAGAUGGGUGACCGGUUGGGAAUACCGGGUGAUGUAAG